rnacentral:rRNA from 1 species
ACGCUCGACACCUACGGGAGGCAGCAGUUGGGAAUAUUGGACAAUGGAGGAAACUCUGAUCCAGUGACGCCGCGUGAAGGAAGAAGGUCUUCGGAUUGUAAACUUAUUUUGUCAGGGAAGAAAAAUGACUGUACCUGAAGAAAAAGCACCGGCUAACUACGUGCCAGCAGCCGUGGUAAUCUGAGCGGGCUGGCAAGGC